AGUUUGUCUACUCUAUGUCAGCAUAAAAGCGAGUUUAAUAUUUUGUAUCUGCGACUGUAUGAUGGUGCUUACUGGAAAGCUUAAUUCCCUUUUGCAAACAAAACUGUUACUACAGAUUCUGCUACCGAAUUGCUGAUGGAGAAGGAAUUGGAAGAAGACAUUGAUUAUUGUGUUGAUGAUGAUGUGCUACCUUUAGAAACACUGACUGCUCUGAAACAAUGUAAAAC
rnacentral:lncRNA from 1 species